rnacentral:rRNA from 1 species
CGCAUCUGUGCAUGCAGCAUAUCAAUAAGCGGAGGAAAAGAAACUAACAAGGAUUCCCUUAGUAACGGCGAGUGAAGCGGGAAGAGCUCAAAUUUGAAAUCUUCAAGGUUUUACCUUGACGAAUUGUAGUUUAAAGAAGUGUUUUCUGUUGAAGUUUUGGUAAAAGUUCUUUGGAAUAGGACAUCAUAGAGGGUGAGAAUCCCGUAUUUGACCAUUAUUUUCAGCUGUGUGAUACACUUUCAAAGAGUCGGAUUGUUUGGGAAUGCAGUCCAAAAUGGGUGGUAAAUUUCAUCUAAAGCUAAAUAUUGGUGAGAGACCGAUAGCGGACAAGUACCGUGAGGGAAAGAUGAAAAGAACUUUGAAAAGAGGGUUAAACAGUACGUGAAAUUGUCAAAAGGGAAGCGUUUGACACCAGUGUUGUUUUCUCGAAAAUCAAUUAAAAAGAGUUAGAUUUUGUUGUGUAUUGACCUUAACAGCUUGCAUUUCAAUUUUCUUGCUUUUUUUAAUGCACUUUUCGUUUAACAAGUCAACAUCAGUUUCUUUUGUUGUAAAAAGGUCAUUGGAAGGUGGCUUUCUUUUCGGAGAAAGUGUUUAUAGCCUUUGACUCCUGCAAUCGGAGAGACUGAGGUCUGCAGCGUAGAUCCUUCGGGGUUAGAUACAUUUGUGCUAAGUUAUAGCUUUUUAUAGACAACUUGUUGACUAUGAUUAGUCUUGUAGCUUACUCGCUUAUGCUAUUUUACCUACGCUUAGGAUGUUGAUGUGAUACUGCGAGCA